rnacentral:rRNA from 1 species
GACGAACGCUGGCGGCGUGCUUAACACAUGCAAGUCGAACGGAAAGGCCCUGCUUUUGUGGGGUUCUCGAGUGGCGAACGGGUGAGUAACACGUGAGUAACCUGCCCUUGACUUUGGGAUAACUUCAGGAAACUGGGGCUAAUACCGGAUAUGAUCUCCUGCUGCAUGGUGGGGGUUGGAAAGUUUCGGCGGUUGUGGAUGGACUCGCGGCUUAUCAGCUUGUUGGUGGGGUAGUGGCUUACCAAGGGUUUGACGGGUAGCCGGCCUGAGAGGGUGAACGGCCACAUUGGGACUGAGAUACGGCGCAGACGCCUACGGGAGGCAGCAGUGGGGAAUAUUGCACAAUGGGCGGAAGCCUGAUGCAGCAACGCCGCGUGCGGGAUGACGGCCUUCGGGUUGUAAACCGCUUUCGCCUGUGACGAAGCGUGAGUGACGGUAAUGGGUAAAGAAGCACCGGCUAACUACGUG